UCAUCUUCAAUAAGGGCUAUAUGGGUUAGCGGCAAUCGGAGAUCAUCCAAUUCAUUGUACAGAUCCACAAUGUAAUUCGACAGGUAUUCACUUGUUUGUUUGGUUACCAAUUCACAAGCACUAGAGCUCAACAAUUGCUCAUUCAAUUGGCACAAAAUAGGGUGAGAUCUAGAGGUAAGGCUGCUAGAACGAACGUGGAAUGAUAUUUUCGCCUCCAUUUUCCCAAUGGAAGUCUGGUAAUCAAAUUCAUGUAGCAAAAGUUUCGAGACAGCGCCUUAUAAACAAGCUUGAGAGGGAGACCAAAGGAAACCAUGUAUAGAAUUCGAGUAUGGUGUUGUUAUCAUGUGCGAACUGCUCUUUUAGGUAUUCCUUUUCUGCAGGCCGAAUGGGAGAGGAAUCGCCAUGUCUGCUUAGAAUCAGGACGAGAUCCACAAUGUUGAGUCUCUGAGCUAUCAUGGAUGCAUUGUUAAUGUUGAAUGCACGUGUGGCACCAUGUCUUGGAGUCACAUAUCUCUCUCUCCCAAGUUAGGCCAGUUAGCUCCCUUGUUUGAGACCGCUUUUGCAGGUCUCAGUUUUCAUUAAUUGGGGAAACAAAUUGCGAGAUUCUUGUGUCCUAUCCUGAAAAUGGUGUAUCAAAUGAAUUUUAAUUUACAAGAUAAAGUACACAAGGGUUCGCAUGAGAACACUAAUAUAUUGGCACUUGUGUCUUUUACCAACAAUGGAUUCACAUCGAUAGAGGAAUGGUAAUGUCAACAACCACACCAGUUAAAUCUAGUGGUUAGGGGUGCCAAUGGGUCGAGUCGGGUUUGGGUUGAGUUGGAUGUGG
rnacentral:lncRNA from 1 species